CAGAAUUUCCAGCUAUUUCUGAAAAUAGAAAAGCAGAGGAACUGAAGCGCAUGCUAUCCCGAGAUCAACUUGCGUGAGUAGAGGGACCGAAAAAAUCAAUCGGCAGAGAAUGGAACAAACUUGCGACAGCCUUUUGCAUGUCUCCUCUUCACAAGUAAAAUGUUGCCAUUCCAGAAGCCUCUCUUAAAGUGCAAAAAUAGAACAAAAAAUAUUUCCAGAAAGCAAGUUUUCUGAAGCCAUACAGAUGCAAACUACAUAUAAUUUAUGUGGAAGCUUCUAUUAAGACAGAAGUGUGCUUUCCAGCUAUUUCUCAACACAAGAAAGUGACCUGAAUGAUUCUGAAGCGAUAUCGGCAUGUUGCAAAAAUUUUGGUUUUGAUCUAUAGUCAUCUUUUUCUGACUAAAGGCGUAUCACUCAUCACCAGAAGAUACUGCUUUCUUGGUUCCACACGUGCUCUGAACUGACAGCAACUAAGCUGGAUGCUAUGAAA